GGGGAUUUAGCUCAGUGGUAGAGCGCUUGCCUAGCAAGCAUGAGGCCUUGGGUUCAGUCCCCA
rnacentral:tRNA from 1 species